GUUUGGGUGGGUCCGGGCUGUCGUGGGAAGGCUGGCUGGCAGCAGAAGAAGAAGUUGAAGGAGCAGGAGAAGGUGGUCUGGAAAAGUGGACAAGUCUUUCCGUGAGGAGUGAAGAAGGAAAGAAAUGGAGGCCCCAGAACUCCCAAAGGAAUUGUUUGAGAGCGUGCAGGAGGCAGUGGGGCGGCGCCUCAAGUUGACGCUGAGGUGCCAGGUCCAGCCGGAGGUCAAAAGCGCAAAGGUGGAGAACAAAGUGCUGGCCUUGGCAUCAGAUCGAGCCUUCUUGUUGUCAGCGCGCAUCCCUUCCAAGGUUGAGCACUCCUUCAGCUACCUGGACAUCCAGCAUCUCCACAGCAACAAGCUCACUCAGGUGCUGUUGGAGUGCCAGCGUGGGCCACGGACACUGUGGUUUAGUUCCCAGAAGGACAGCGACCAGGUCAUCACCCACGUAGGUUGCCGUCUCGUGCGGAUCUGCCCGGACAUGAGUCUGCUGAAGAAGUUUCACGUGACGCCCCCCGAGCGAUCGGACGCCCUCCGGGCGGUCUGGGAGCAGCAGGGUUCUCUGGACCAGGGGCCUUGCGGAGGAUUCUCCGAUCAGUACCGGGCCGUCUGCGACAAUCUAAACCUGGCCUACAGGGAGGAGGUCCAGUGGGACGUGGACACCAUCUACCUGAGUCAGGACACCACAGAACUCAACCUGCAAGACUUCAGUCACCUGGACAGCAGGGAUCUUGUGGCCAUUGUUGGCACUCUGGAGUACAACAAGUGGUUCACCAAGCUGGUCGCUAGAGACUGCAAACUGUCUACAGACGUGUGCGAGCAGAUUCUGCACGUGAUGUCCCGAUCCAAUCGUUUGGAGGAGCUGGUCCUGGACAAAGCCGGCCUCAGAAGUGAUUUUGCCCACAAACUGUCCUUGGCACUGUGUCAUAACCCCGCUUCCACGCUGCGCAGCCUCAACCUGAGCAACAACUCGCUAGACGACAAAGGUGUAUGCGCUCUGAGCGCUCAGCUGGGCAAACUUGCGAAGGGUCUGAAGCAACUGAACCUCAGCAGGACCUCGUUGUCCCCCAAAGGCGCGAACUUCCUGUGUCAGGCGCUGUGCGCGAAUCCCGGCAUGGCCGCCACCCUCACACACCUCCAGUUGUCCGGAAACUCACUCAGAGGAGACGAGCUGCGGAACUUACACAACUUCCUGAGUCAUGACAACUGCUUAGAAGUUCUGGAUUUGUCCUGCACUGACUGCUCACUGGAGCAGACAUCAGCGUCUCUUCUCGAAGGAUGUUUAAAGCGUCUCCGCGUCCUGAACAUGUCAAAGACGCCCUUUUCGCACAGACGUCGUCCGUCUGGGCGGACGAGGCCGACGUCACGGAGUUGUUGUUCGUGCGUGUCCUGUGUGUGUGAACAUACACGUGUACAUACGUGUGGCGUGUGUUGCCGUGUCGUCAGGAAGAGCAGGGAGGUUCCUGCGUCCUUCGAGCAGUUCUUCAGCCUGUCCCGGGCUCUGAGCUCCGUCAACGUGUCCGGAUGCAGACUUCCCGCCGAGGCGCUCAAGGCACUGCUGCUGGGACUGGGCUGCAACCCCAAUCUGAGCGACGUGUCUCUGGACCUGAGCGGCUGUGAGCUGCGCUCGGCGGGCUCUCAGAUCCUGGAGGGCUGCAUCGCAGAGAUCCCCAACAUCUCCAGUUUGGACAUCUCCGACAACGGUCUGGACGGGGACCUGAGCACCCUGCUGGUAUGGCUGGCCAAGAACCGCUCGUUUCGCCACCUUUCAUUGGGCAGAAACUUCCAGAAUAUCAAGUCCAAGAACGUGGCUCCGGUCCUGGACGACCUGGUCCGUAUGAUUCAAGAGGAGGAGUCACCGCUGACCUCGCUGUCGCUGGCUGACUCCAAGCUGAAGGGUGACCUGGCCAUCGUCCUCAACGCCCUGGGAAGCAAUACCUCGCUCACAAAGCUGGACAUCAGAGGGAACGCCAUGGGCGACAUGGGCGCCAAAAUGCUGGCCAAGGCCCUGCAGAUCAACACCAAGCUCAGGACGCUUUUCUGGGACAGGAACAAUGUCAGCCCCCAGGGUCUAGAGGAAGUGGCGUCCGCGUUGGAGAAGAAUUUCACCAUGCGCUUCAUGCCAGUUCCCAUCAUGGACGCCGCCCAGGCACUCAAGACCAACUCGGAAAAGACAGAAGACGCGCUCCUGAAGAUGGAGCACUUCCUGCUGAGGAACCACGAGACUCGGAAGUACCUCCAGGAGCAGGCGUACCGGCUGCAGCAGGGCAUCGUCACCAGCACCACGCAGCAGCUGAUGGACACCAUGUGUGUGAAGGUUCAGGAUCACCUGAACUCGCUCAUGUACUCCCAGAACUACACAGUCCAGGAUGAUAUGAAGAUGGCAGAAAACCUGAUGACAGACGCGAGGAACUCCAAGACUCUGCUCCCCAACCUCUACCACCUGGGGGGCGACGGUCUACGUGUGGCCAUUCAGGACAAACUGGAGUCCGUGGCCGGGGAGGUCGCGGCUGUGAUGGAUGAGCAGCUGGAGACAAUGCUUGCGUCCAUGUUGGAAGCGGCGUCUGGUUUAUGUCCUCAUGUGAUGAAGAUGAGCGGCCUUGUGCCAGAUCUGCUGCGGGCGGGCGCGGUGAAGAUGAGCGUCCCUCGCAGUUUCAUCACCAAGACGCUCCUGGAGCAGACGGGCGUGGACAUCCUCAACAAGAUCAGUGAGCUGAAACUCAGCGUGGCGUCCUUGAUCUCCGAUCGUAUCGUGGACCAGAUCCUGGACUCUUUGUCCACGUGGCGCCACACGCUGGCCGACCACGUGACCAGGCAGGGCCAACCUGCGCUACGUCCGGAAUCUCAGACGGAAACAGAAGUUCUGGACGAGACGGUCAUUCAUCCGGGGGAUCGUGAUGGGGAAAGCCGAGUGGAUGCUUCUGUGAUGACGGCCAAGUCCAAGCGGAAGAGCAUUCUGGUGCGGAUGCUGCGACCAGUCUCGGUGGCUUUUGAGAUGGAGUUUGACCUGGACAAAGCUCUUCAGGAGGUGCCAGUCCAUGAGGUGGACCCGCCGCCCUCAUGCCUGCCGGACCUUGUGCAGCCAGCUUUCCCGCCUCUGGUGUCACCGCCUCCCCUGCGGCAUUACACUAAAGUGCGGCCCAAAGCCAGGAGACGGAACAAACCCAGCAGAGUCACACGUGAGGCACCGGUGGGGUUGGAGCAUCAGGCCAUGAUAGGAAAGGUGGACGAGGGCAUGGAUGAGUUCUUCUCCAAGAAAGUCCUGAAAGUCAGCUUGAAACGCCCCGCCGCACAAGCAACGCCGUCAAACACGCACGAGUUGGCCGACAAGAAGCGGGACUCCAGGAGGAGCGGCUUCUUCAACCUCAUCAAAGUUCGGACAUCCCGCUCGGAGAAGAGCCAGGGGGGAACCCAAGAGUCCGCAACCGUCGGGCCACCCAGGCCCGCGUUCCCCGACCUCACGCAGUCGCCCAUAUCCCCUGCCCUCGCGCCGCCUACACCCUCUGUCGGCAAGGUCACUGAGGAGUCCCCGCCCGCAUCCCCGUCUUCGACACCCCAGCGGUCCCCGAGGUCGCCGCCCCAGAACAACGACGGUUCUGACACGAACGUGUCGGCGCCUUCCGCCGGAGCGGCUGAGGAGAAGGACAGCCCCGUGGUUCCGAGGCAUGUGGGCAUUCCCGUCAUGGGCGCCGACCUUCUGGCGGAGAUGAAGGCACGGCAGGAGAAAAUGGCCGCUCAAAAGGUGAGAAGAAAACAAGGAAAGCAACAAUUGUAGGAAGGUAAGUAAGUACGUAAGUACUGUAAGUCAGUAGGUAGAUACGUACUGUAAGUAAGUAAGAACUGGAAGUAGACAAGUACUUGAAGUAAGUAGUGAGGCAAGUGUUAUUUCUCUACUCCUAAGACAGUCAACUCAACCUGCUGCACAUGAUUAAGACGCAGAAUGACUAACAUUUCAAAAAAACUAAACAAAUAAAUAAUCAAGUCUCCCUGGUCGGCACGGUGACGACUGGUUAGAGCGUAUGCCUCACAGUUGUGAGGACCGGGGUUCAAUCCCCGGCCCCGCCUGUGUGGAGUUUGCAUGUCCUCUCCGUGCCUGCGUGGCUUUUCUCCGGGCACUCCGCUUUCCUCCCACAUCCCAAAAACAUGCAUGCCAGGUUGAUUGAAGACUCGAAAUUGCCCGUAGGUGUGAAUGUGAGUCCCAAUGGUUCUUUGUUUGUACGUGCCCUGCGAUGGGCUGGCAACCGGUUCAGGGUGUACCCCGCCUCCUGCCCGAUGACAGCUGGGAUAGGCUGCCGGCACGCCCGCGACCCGCGUGAGGAGUAGCGGCUGGCUCAGAAAAUGGAUGGAUGGAUGGAUGGAUUCUCUCUUUCAUGUUGGCGCCAUGAUUCAUGUCAAUCCACUUGGUGCAACAGCUCUCCAAGUCGGAUUCUUUGGAGAACGAUGACCACAUGGGCAACUCGACGACGGGGGCUGUCAAAGCUCGCCUGAGGAGGUCGCCGUCUGAACA